AUUGAACGCUGGCGGCAUGCUUUACACAUGCAAGUCGAACGGUAACAGGGUGCUUGCACCGCUGACGAGUGGCGAACGGGUGAGUAAUGCGUCGGAACGUGCCGAGUAGUGGGGGAUAACGCAUCGAAAGGUGUGCUAAUACCGCAUACGUACUGAGGUAGAAAGUGGGGGACCUUCGGGCCUCACGCUAUUCGAGCGGCCGACGUCUGAUUAGCUAGUUGGUGAGGUAAAGGCUCACCAAGGCGACGAUCAGUAGCGGGUCUGAGAGGAUGAUCCGCCACACUGGGACUGAGACACGGCCCAGACUCCUACGGGAGGCAGCAGUGGGGAAUUUUGGACAAUGGGCGCAAGCCUGAUCCAGCCAUGCCGCGUGUCUGAAGAAGGCCUUCGGGUUGUAAAGGACUUUUGUCCGGGAGCAAAUACCCAGUGCUAAUAACGCUGGGGGCCGAGAGUACCGGAAGAAUAAGCACCGGCUAACUACGUGCCAGCCGCCGCUGUAAGAC
rnacentral:rRNA from 1 species